GUUGUGGGAAUCCAGAUCUGUGCUGCUCUGGAAAAAAUGACUCCUGUCACCGCUUGAACUGUUUUUGUGACGUUGCUUGCCUGAGAAUUGGCGACUGCUGCCCUGAUUUCAAACCCACCUGCCUCACAGUCAAUAACAGCUCCAACGGCACUAAACCAAACAACACUUUGACGCUGACAGGAAAGUGUUCACAGCCGACUCUGUGCUGCAGUGGCCUAAACUACGACUGUUUCAGAGGCUGUUUUUGUGACGAGGUCUGUAAACAGUUCAAUGACUGCUGUCCCGACCUCAACAGCA